rnacentral:rRNA from 1 species
CUUGGUCAUUUAGAGAAGUAAAAGUCGUAACAAGGUUUCCGUAGGUGAACCUGCGGAAGGAUCAUUAUCGAGUUGCUUGUGCUUAGGGGGUUUGAUGCUGGCCUCCUGGGGGGGGCAUGUGCACACCUCUAGGCAAACUCAUCCACACACACCUGUGAACCUGUUGUGGGGACGCUCUUAGGGGUGACUUCCCAUGUUUUAUAUUGCACACGUGUUUGUUAUCAGUAUGUCCUGUAGAGUGUUGAAGGGGGGGGUGUGGUUCACCUUCUCUUGAAAUGCACCAUGUAGUACAACUUUCAACAACGGAUCUCUUGGCUCUCGCAUCGAUGAAGAACGCAGCGAAAUGCGAUAAGUAAUGUGAAUUGCAGAUUUUCAGUGAAUCAUCGAAUCUUUGAACGCACCUUGCGCUCCUUGGUAUUCCGAGGAGCAUGCCUGUUUGAGUGUCAUUGAAUUCUCAACUCCGAGUAGACUUGUCUUGUCUAUCUGGAGCUUGGAUUUUGGAGUCUGCUGGCCUGGCUUGUCAUAGGUCGGCUCCUUCUAAAAGCAUCAGCAGAGAGAAAUGGUGUCUUUAGGGCCUUUGCUGACUUUUCAGUGUGAUAAGUGUGUUGCGCUGUUGUCUGGCAUGGCAUGUUGGGGGGCACCAUCUGCUUACAAUCUGUCUUUGGAGUGACCUUUUUUGAAACU